rnacentral:rRNA from 1 species
UCGAGAAUCUUCGGCAAUGGGCGCAAGCCUGACCGAGCGACGCCGCGUGGAGGACGAAGGCCUUCGGGUUGUAAACUCCUGUCGAAGGGGAGGAAGCCGUGAGGUUGACCGAUCCCUGGAGGAAGGACGGGCUAAGUUCGUGCCAGCAGCCGCGGUAAGACGAACCGUCCGAACGUUAUUCGGAAUUACUGGGCUUAAAGCGCGUGUAGGCGGGCCCGAACGUCCGAUGCUGAAAGCCCCCGGCUCAACCGGGGAAGUGGCACGGAUACGGCGGGCCUGGAGGGGGGUAGGGGGAGCUGGAACUUCCGGUGGAGCGGUGAAAUGCGUUGAGAUCGGAAGGAACGCCCGUGGCGAAAGCGAGCUCCUGGACCCUUACUGACGCUGAGACGCGAAAGCCAGGGGAGCGAACGG